rnacentral:tRNA from 1 species
UCCAGGGUAGCCUAGUGGACAAUGGCAUCUGCCCGGUAAGCGGAACACUGUUGGGUUCGUUUCCCAUCCCUGGAC